AACGAACGCUGGCGGCAGGCUUAACACAUGCAAGUCGAACGCCCCGCAAGGGGAGUGGCAGACGGGUGAGUAACACGUGGGAACAUGCCCAAAGGUACGGAAUAUUCUCGGGAAACUGGGAGCAAUACCGUAUGUGCCCGAAAGGGGAAAGAUUUAUCGCCUUUGGAUUGGCCCGCGUUGGAUUAGGUAGUUGGUGGGGUAACGGCCUACCAAGCCUGCGAUCCAUAGCUGGUCUGAGAGGACGAUCAGCCACACUGGGACUGAGACACGGCCCAGACUCCUACGGGAGGCAGCAGUGGGGAAUCUUGCGCAAUGGACGAAAGUCUGACGCAGCCAUGCCGCGUGAAUGAUGAAGGUCUUAGGAUUGUAAAGUUCUUUCGACGGGGACGAUGAUGACGGUACCCGUAGAAGAAGCCCCGGCUAACUACGUGCCAGCAGCCGCGGUAAGUCUCGCGUGA
rnacentral:rRNA from 1 species